GACGAACGCUGGCGGCGUGCUUAACACAUGCAAGUCGAACGGAAAGGCCCUGCUUUUGUGGGGUGCUCGAGUGGCGAACGGGUGAGUAACACGUGAGUAACCUGCCCUUGACUUUGGGAUAACUUCAGGAAACUGGGGCUAAUACCGGAUAGGAGCUCCUGCUGCAUGGUGGGGGUUGGAAAGUUUCGGCGGUUGGGGAUGGACUCGCGGCUUAUCGGCUUGUUGGUGGGGUAGUGGCUUACCAAGGCUUUGGCGGGUAGCCGGCCUGAGAGGGUGACCGGCCACAUUGGGACUGAGAUACGGCCCAGACUCCUACGGGAGGCAGCAGUGGGGAAUAUUGCACAAUGGGCGGAAGCCUGAUGCAGCAACGCCGCGUGCGGGAUGACGGCCUUCGGGUUGUAAACCGCUUUCGCCUGUGACGAAGCGUGAGUGACGGUAAUGGGUAAAGAAGCACCGGCUAACUACGUG
rnacentral:rRNA from 1 species